GCCAUGGCUUAGUGGUACAGAGCAUGUGUGUUGUGCACAGAAGGUCCUGGGUUCAAUACUGGGCAUUCCCAGGUCGGGCU